UACUGGCAGGAUCAACCAGGUAGCAUUCCUUUGCGACGCCGACGCCCGCAUGAGGCCCGACGAGCCGUGUGGCCGUUGGACGCUCAAGACGGGAGCGACAGUCGUUCGUGUCGAUGGACAAAAUGCAUUGCUUGGGCAAACGAAGGCCGAGAGACCCCGCACCCGCGCAUAACAUUCUGCAUCCGAGAGAACGGGCAGAGCACCUCAUGGGCCAAGGCAACCAAGCGGGAGAGCGAGGCAUGCCAGGAACACUAGGCUCGCCUUGCGUCCACCCCACCACCCGUGAGGGCAUGGGGCGG
rnacentral:misc_RNA from 1 species